rnacentral:rRNA from 1 species
GAUGAACGCUGGCGGCGUGCCUAAUACAUGCAAGUCGAGCGAACAGACGAGGAGCUUGCUCCUCUGACGUUAGCGGCGGACGGGUGAGUAACACGUGGAUAACCUACCUAUAAGACUGGGAUAACUUCGGGAAACCGGAGCUAAUACCGGAUAAUAUAUUGAACCGCAUGGUUCAAUAGUGAAAGACGGUCUUGCUGUCACUUAUAGAUGGAUCCGCGCCGCAUUAGCUAGUUGGUAAGGUAACGGCUUACCAAGGCAACGAUGCGUAGCCGACCUGAGAGGGUGAUCGGCCACACUGGAACUGAGACACGGUCCAGACUCCUACGGGAGGCAUCAGUAGGGAAUCUUCCGCAAUGGGCGAAAGCUUGACGGAGCAACGCCGCGUGAGUGAUGAAGGUCUUCGGAUCGUAAAACUCUGUUAUUAGGGAAGAACAAAUGUGUAAGUAACUAUGCACGUCUUGACGGUACCUAAUCAGAAAGCCACGGCUAACUACGUG